rnacentral:lncRNA from 1 species
AUGUCUUCAUUACAAGAUAGACUCCUGAGAAUGCUUAUUCCAGCAAAGAAGAAGAUCUUCCGAAAAAACAAGGAUUACUCAAAGUUAUUGAGAAGAAAUACAGGUUCUGGUGGACAAUUUCCAGUCUGGUAUCUGCAUUUGGAGAGAUUCUACAGCACAUGCAUGAAUGAAUGGAGUAUCUGCUGA